UGACCUCAAAUCAGGUAGGACUACCCGCUGAACUUAAGCAUAUCAAUAAGCGGAGGAAAAGAAACUAACAAGGAUUCCCCUAGUAACUGCGAGUGAAGCGGGAAAAGCUCAAAUUUUGAAUCUGGCGGUCUCUGGCCGUCCGAGUUGUAAUCUAGAGAAGCGUUUUCCAGUGCUGGACCGUGUACAAGUCUCCUGGAAGGGAGCAUCAUAGAGGGUGAGAAUC
rnacentral:rRNA from 1 species